rnacentral:pre_miRNA from 1 species
GGCCCAAAUUUGAAGUAGAGUAGAUUAGUAGAACUGGCUGACCCUACUUAACUAUUCAACUUCGAGUUUGUGCCC